rnacentral:rRNA from 1 species
GACGAACGCUGGCGGCGUGCUUAACACAUGCAAGUCGAACGGACAGGCCCUGCGUUUGUUGGGUUCUCGAGUGGCGAACGGGUGAGUAACACGUGAGUAACCUGCCCUUGUCUUUGGGAUAACUUCAGGAAACUGGGGCUAUUACCGGAUAUGAGAUCCUGCUCCAUGGUGGUGGUUGGUAAGUUUCGGCGGUGGGGGAUGGACUCGCGGCUUAUCAGCUUGUUUGUGGGGUAGUUGCUUACCAAGGCUUUGACGGGUAGCCGGCCUGAGCGGCUUACCGGCCACAUUGGGACUGAGAUACGGAGCAGAAUCCUACGGGAGGCAGCAGUCGGGAGUCUUGCACAGUGGGGGGAAGCCUGAGGCAGAAACGCCGCGUGCGGAAUACUGGCUUUCGAGUUGUAAACCGCUUUCGCCGGUGACGAAGCGUGAGUGACGGUAAUGGGUAAAGAAGCAACGGCUAACUACGUG